GAUUAUCUUAGAAACAAUGUUUUAAUAUUAAUUUGAUGAGAGAUUUAAUGCGAAAGGAGCUCAAUAUUUAUUUUGCACACAGUUUAGUAUUUUUCUUAAAGGAACGAAAUAUCGGCAGAUAGUUUUUUUCUUUUUCCUUUUUUUUUCUUUUAGUGACCGCCCUUUAACUCACCAAGCCCUUCCUCUCAGGACUUUCCAAGAUUUCCAGCGCAAAAACAGCGAGCGCAACAUUCCAAUCUUUCAUCAUUAAACUUUUCUCCUUUUGCGGAAAUGGUUUGCUCGCUUUCUUUGCACAGCUCGGACUAAGUUCAGCAACACUAUGUGGCUUCCUUGCAAAUGCACUACGAAGUAUGUGGCUGCCAUCAGACGUGGCGUCUCGGCAUCUUUUCUUCAUGUUUUGCGCCGCGGCAGGGGCAGCUGGAACUCGGCGGCCUUCAUGCCGGAGUCGGCGGGCUUCGAGGGCGUUUCUGGCCGCGACGCUCUGCACGACUACUCGGUCUCCCACGGCGAGAGCUUCUGGGACGCCGUGGCCCGCCAGAGGCUGAGCUGGAUCCGACCUUUCGACGCUGUGCAGGACUGCGAUCUGAGCCAAGGGAGGAUUAAGUGGUUCGAGGGCGGAAAGCUGAACGUCUCCGUGAACUGCUUGGACCGCCAUGUGCACACCUGUCCAGAGAGAGUGGCCCUGAUAUGGGAGAGGGAUGAGCAGGGGUCAGAGGUCAGGUACACAUACAGGGAGCUACUGGAUCUGACAUGCCGCUUGGGGAACCUGUUGAGGCGGUAUGGCGUAAAGAAGGGGGACUGCGUCACCAUCUACAUGCCCACCUGCCCUCUGGCAGUGGCGUCCAUGUUGGCCUGUGCCCGGAUUGGUGCUGCUCACAAUGUGGUGUUUGCAGGCUUCAGUUCAGAAGCCCUGGCAGAGCGCAUAAGAGACGCUCAGUCCAGCACCGUCAUCACCGUGAACCAGGGCGUCCGGGGCGGGAAGAUCGCAGAGCUGAAGAGGACGGUGGACGCAGCCGUCCAGAGCUGUCCGACUGUCCAGCAGGUGUUUGUGGCCAUGAGAACUGAAAAACAAGUCGAGAUGACAGACAGGGACUUCGCCUUGGAGGAGGAGAUGCUGAAGGAGGACGUUGUGUGUGAGCCAGCUGCUAUGGACAGCGAGGACGUCCUGUUCCUGUUGUACACAUCUGGUAGCACGGGGAAGCCCAAAGGCCUGGUCCACACGCAGGCUGGAUACCUGCUUUAUGCUGCUCUCACACACAGGUACGUCUUCGGCUACCAUGACGGGGACGUGUUCGGCUGUGUGGCAGAUAUAGGCUGGAUUACUGGACACAGUUACACAGUGUACGGGCCCCUGGCCAAUGGAGGGACCACCGUUCUGUUUGAGAGCACUCCAGUGUAUCCUGACCCAGGGAGAUACUGGGACAUGGUGGAGAGGCUGAGGAUCAACCAGUUUUACGGAGCUCCCACUGCAAUCCGCCUCCUGAUCAAAUACGGAGACCAGUGGGUGAAGAAGUACGACCGCUCCUCCCUCACCACACUCGGCUCUGUGGGUGAGCCGAUCAACACAGAAGCGUGGGAGUGGUACAACAGGGUGGUCGGCGAAGGACGCUGUCCUGUAGUGGACACCUGGUGGCAAACCGAAACAGGCGGCAUCUGCAUCGCCCCAAAGCCAUCAGAACCAGACGCAGAGAUUGUCCCGGGGAUGGCCAUGAGACCCUUCUUUGGCAUCAAGCCGGUGCUCAUGGACACCGAGGGAAAGUUACUGACUUCCAACAACACAUCCGGAGCUCUGUGUAUGGCUCAGCCGUGGCCCGGCAUGGCAAGAACCAUUCACAACAACCACCAGAGAUUCUUUGAGACCUACUUCCAGCCUUAUCCAGGGUACUUCUUCACGGGUGAUGGAGCCUAUCGUUCUCAGGAGGGUUACUACCAGAUCACAGGGCGUCUGGAUGACGUAAUCAACGUCAGCGGCCACAGGAUCGGGACAGCAGAGAUAGAGGACGUAGUGGAGUUUACGCCUUCGUGGUCCUGAAGAAGGGUGUAGACAUACAGGAGGCGGAUCUGUCCAAGCAGCUGAACAACAUGGUGUCUGAAAAGAUUGCCAAGUAUGCUUGUCCUGACUUCAUUCAGUUGGCUAAACGGUUACCUAAGACGCGUUCGGGAAAGAUCAUGCGGCGCGUUCUGCGCAAAGUUGUGGACUCUGACCUGGAUGGUUUGGGGGACCUGAGCACGCUGGACGAUCCAGCAGCGGUUCAGGAGAUCAUCGAAGGCCAUGAAAAGCUCUUAAGUAAAUAAGAAGCAUCGGAGUAACUUUCCUGAAAACAAUGAAAUGUAAAGGAGGCUGUGAAGGAUAACUUGCACAUUCCCAUCAACCACACAUGUGCCUUUAAAGAAAAACUUAUUUUAAUCACCAAACGUUUUAUUAGAUUGUACAUAUAAAUCUAUUUUAACAAUCCAUGUAUCUUCAUUAUAAGACUGUGAAACUUUCAGAUGUGGUUAUGAAUAACACCGUUGCAAAAAUAACUUUAAUGCACUUAAGAAGUGUUUUUCUAUGUGAUUUGUGACACAAUAAAAAGUUUUUUGGGUCCA